rnacentral:rRNA from 1 species
GAUGAACGCUGGCGGCGUGCCCAAUACAUGCAAGUCGAGCGAAGCGGGGACGGGUGAGUAACACGUGGAUAACCUCCUAUAAGACUGGGAUAACUUCGGGAAACCGGAGCUAAACCGGAUAAUUAUAGAUGGAUCCGCGCUGCAUUAGCUAGUUGGUAAGGUAACGGCUUACCAAGGCAACGAUGCAUAGCCGACCUGAUAGGGUGAUCGGCCACACGUGAACUAAGACACGGUCCAUACUCCUACGGGAGGCAGCAGUAGGGAAUCUUCCGCAGUGGGCGAAAGCCUGGCGGAGCAACGCCGCGUGAGUGAUGAAGGUCUUCGGAUCGUAAAACUCUGUUAUUAGGGAAGCGUUACCUAUUCAGAAAGCCACGGCUAACUACGUGCCAGCAGCCGCGGUAAUAC